GUAUCCUACAUCUUUAAUUGUGUUACCGUUUCCAGGGAUUUUGUUUUCUACCUUUAAUUCUCCCCUUUUAAGAAAUGCUUGGGGGCCGGGGAUGUAGCUCAGUGGCUCCGGCGCCUGCCUCGAAAGCGCAAGGUCCCGAGUUCGAUCCCCGUUGCCAAAAAGAGAAAUGCUUGGUAGGGCAUGCUUGGUAUGCAGUCCGGCUUGGCCUCAAAUUUGGAAUCCUGCCUCAGCCUCCCAACUACCUGGGGAAAAAAGGAUGCUAAACACGCACUUUUGCUAUUGAAGCAGUAAAUGAAUUGACGGAGAACAAGGCUUUUUUGUCUCGUUGAAAGUUGCUGUUAGGGAAGUUUUAAAUGUACUCUUCCCUCUGAAGGGGUGAUGAUUUUGGACUAUGAAGUACGUUGGCAGUAGCCAACGGAAGGAGCGUCUGUCUGUACGAACGCGGUCACAUGCCCGAGGCGUGGAGGCAUGUUAGUCGGGAAGAGCAGGGUGGCUGACUUAGAGAGCUUGCAGGGGUGAGGGGGUCACUGGCUGCCGUGGGUGUUUGCUUGAGCGAUAGUGGACAUUGAAACCGAGGCAACAGCGCAAAUUUACAGGCAGAAUCUCUAAUUGGAAAGCAAGAGAAAAUGGUGAAGGGAUUUCAGUUUGAGCAGAAGAAAAGCCGAAAAGAAUGCAGCCCUGAUGCAGAAGAUUGGGCUGGGCUGCUAACAAACGGAAGAGGCCAGUUCUUACGGGGUUGCUGAGGUGGACUAGGGUCUGGCUGAUCAGCUUCAGGAAAGGCCUCCUGGCUUGGGAAGCAAUCUAGUUCCCCUGAGAUGACUGCUGCUGUUUGGGGGCCAUCGCAGUUUUAGAGGCUCUGUUGGAGUGUGAGGUCUACAGAUCAUCUGUGCUAGGCAGUAGGUUGCUGAGAGACUGAAGAAAACACCUGAAGAUGGCACCCCAGUGGUGGGAAGGCUGAAGACCAGAAGAUGAGCAAGCCAUUCACAGAAAACUGGUGAUCCUGGGCAUAUUGCUAUUGCUUCAGGAUCUGGAAGAGUCUUCCCCAGCUCUGCUCUGACCCAGAGGAUGGGCAGCACAUACCCAGAAGCACUACCAACACAACCUUAGCAUGCCAGAGUCAGGCUUCUUCACAGAAGACCUUGAGCAUUGUUGUUCUCUGAAUGCAGGCAGCACAGGCCUACAGACACAGGGCUGCUGUCAACAGAAGGGUUGGUGGCACAUUCAAAGAACUCUGAGGAAUUCCCAGAAAUACAUACAGGAUAUCUUGGGAGCUGCAGAGUGACUCCUUGGUAGAACAGGAACAGCUUAAAGAAUUUUAGAGAUGUUGUUAAUAAGGUGUGGAAUUUAUAUGGAGAUCAAUACCUGGAGCUGUCAAAAUUGGAAUACCCAGCAGACAAAAAGUGAAACUUGGUGUCUGCUGUAUUGCACAUGAAAAAAUGAAUUCCAAAUGGAUCGCAGGCCUCAAUCUAAUACUGGAGAAUUUCUACAAACCAACUUAGACUACCUGCACAACUUUGGGGUCGAUAACUCCUUAGGACACAAGUAGCACUAAUGGGUAGGAGAAGAAAUUUGACUUCAUCAGAACUUGAAAACAUCUGCUUUUAAAAAGACAUCUUUAGGAAAAUGAAAGUACAGUCUACAGACUGGAAAAAACCAUUUUCAAUACAUCCAUAUGCACUGAACUUGUGUCUAGAAUAUGUAAAGAAUCCUUAUCACUCAAUAAUAAACUGAAACAGUUUGCAAAUGGGCAAAAGACAAAAAAAGAAUACUUUGGAAAGAAGAUAUCCAAAAAUCCAAUUGAAAAUGCACAAGGAAAUCAAAGCCACAAUUAGAUUCUACCACACUCUGACUAGAAUGACUGAAAUUUAAAAAGACUAGCAAUAUUAUGUUAUUAAUAAAAUUAAAUGUUAAUAAAAUUAGAUAUUGUAGCAUUUCUAGUAAACAUGUACUAAAAGCCCUAUACCAUGAGAAAAAGAAAUAAAUGGCAUGAGAGUUGGAAAGGAAAUAAGAACUGUCUAUAUCUGUAGGUUAUAUGAUUGUGUACACAGAAAAUAAAAAUUAUGUAAAGAUAAACUGUUUGAACUGACAACAGCUUAGCAAGUUUUCUGCUUACAGUGCUUAGUAUUGUGUAUAGGAAGAGACAGAAAGGGCAAUUUAAAAACAGAACAUUGAAC
rnacentral:lncRNA from 1 species